CACUUGAAAACACAAACGCUCUAGUCAUUAUGAGUUUGCCUUGCUCAAAGCAUUAGACCUCGGAAAAUGAAGAGUGCUAGUUCGCCUCGGGGUGUGGAAGUAGUGCGUAGUUGGUGCGGUGAUCUUUGCAAGAUGAAGGAGGUGACAGAUUUUUCAAAUUGGUUGGCAUGAAGUUUUUCAUGUGUGCCAAUUAUGAGGAAGAUCCACCCAUUUCUAUUUCUGCGUACAUCAGGCGUCCGUCUCCUCCUUCUCUGUGCAUGUACUAUCGUUAGAUUGACACGCCGGACUGGGCGGUGACCGGGAUUGACCGGGAUUCGUAAAAGAGGUAGUCGUGCAUGGGCUAGUUUGGACUUAGAAGAGCACCGCGAGAAGGCCGAAGCAGAGGAGAAAUCAGAGGAGAAGAGAGAGUGGCAAGAGUACUGCGUGGAGCAGAGGGCUAUGCUUGAUGAGAUGUUGAAGAAAAACCGAGAAGAAGAACUUUGACUGGCGGAGGUUUAUAGAGAGCGACAGGAGGUCUGUGAUGCUGAGAGGUAGAGAAAGAAAGAAAUGGCUCAUGCGGCCAAGGAAGCAGAAGAAGCUGGUGAUGGAAAAGGAAAAUAUCCGCGUUAGACUUAGUAGAUUUAUGUUACUGUAUCCUAAAAUUGUUGAAUACUUUAGCAAGUUGUAUCUUAAUUUCACUAAGUUGUAUCUUA